rnacentral:rRNA from 1 species
GGCUCAACCGGGGAGGGUCAUUGGAAACUGGGAGACUUGAGUGCAGAAGAGGAGAGUGGAAUUCCAUGUGUAGCGGUGAAAUGCGUAGAUAUAUGGAGGAACACCAGUGGCGAAGGCGGCUCUCUGGUCUGUAACUGACGCUGAGGCUCGAAAGCGUGGGGAGCAAACAGGAUUAGAUACCC